AUUGAACGCUGGCGGCAGGCCUAACACAUGCAAGUCGAGCGGAUGAAGGGAGCUUGCUCCUGGAUUCAGCGGCGGACGGGUGAGUAAUGCCUAGGAAUCUGCCUGGUAGUGGGGGAUAACGUCCGGAAACGGGCGCUAAUACCGCAUACGUCCUGAGGGAGAAAGUGGGGGAUCUUCGGACCUCACGCUAUCAGAUGAGCCUAGGUCGUAUUAGCUAGUUGGUGGGGUAAAGGCCUACCAAGGCGACGAUCCGUAACUGGUCUGAGAGGAUGAUCAGUCACACUGGAACUGAGACACGGUCCAGACUCCUACGGGAGGCAGCAGUGGGGAAUAUUGGACAAUGGGCGAAGGCCUGAUCCAGCCAUGCCGCGUGUGUGAAGAAGGUCUUCGGAUUGUAAAGCACUUUAAGUUGGGAGGAAGGGCAGUAAGUUAAUACCUUGCUGUUUUGACGUUACCAACAGAAUAAGCACCGGCUAACUUCGUG
rnacentral:rRNA from 1 species